rnacentral:tRNA from 1 species
GCGAAGAUGGCGGAAUGGCAGACGCGCUGGUUUCAGGUACCAGUGCCCGCAAGGGCGUGGAGGUUCAAGUCCUCUUCUUCGCACGA